rnacentral:rRNA from 1 species
UACGUAGGGGGGCAAGCGUUGUCCGGAUUUAUUGGGCGUAAAGAGCGUGUAGGCGGUUAGGUAGGUCCGUUGUGAAAACUCGAGGCUCAACCUCGAGACGCCGAUGGAAACCAUCUGACUAGAGUCCGGAAGAGGAGAGUGGAAUUCCUGGUGUAGCGGUGAAAUGCGCAGAUAUCAGGAAGAACACCCGUGGCUAAGGCGGCUCUCUAGUACGUGACUGGACGCUGAGACGCGAAAGCGUGGGGAGCGAACAGG